GCCCGCGUGGCUUAAUGGUAAAGCGUAUCACUAGUAAUGAUAAGAUCCUCGGUUCGAUUCCGAGUGUGGGCA
rfam:Emmonsia pasteuriana TAMH 9510 supercont1.368, whole genome shotgun sequence.